AUACUGCAGAGCUAGAGACCGGGAGAGGUAAAGAGUACAAAUGGUGUACCAGUAAAAUGGGUUGAUCCUAUUUGGACUAUCAACAGCGAAGGCACUUUACCAGAACGGAUCUGACAGUGAGGGAUGAAAGCUAGGGGCGCAAAACGGAUUAGAUACCCGUGUAGUCCUAGCAGUAAACACUGCACACUAAACAUCGGGGCCUCUUCGGGAGGUCUCGGUGCUGUAGCGAAGGCGAAGAGUGUGCUACCUGGGAAGUAUAGUCGCAAGACCGAAACUUAAAGGAAUAGGCGGGGGAGUACUACAACGGGUGACGCGUGCGGUUCAAUUAGAUUUUACACCGAGAACCUCACCAGGACCGACAGCAGGAUGAAGGUCAGUCUAAAGGGCUUACCUGACACGCUGAGAGGAGAUGCAUGGCCGACGUCAGCUUGUGCUGUGAGGUGACCUGUUAAAUCAGGUUACAGGCGAGACCUGCGUGUAUAUUUACUAAGUGUACAAUAUACAGACUGCCUUGGUAACAAGGAGGAAGGUGCGGGCUACGUUAGGUGAGUACGUCCCGAAUGCCCUGGGCUACACGCGCGCGGCAAUGCUGCAUUCAGUGGGCUGCGACACCGAAAGGUGAAGCUAAUCUCAUAAACUGCAGCCUAGUUCAGAUUGAGGGUUG
rnacentral:rRNA from 1 species